rnacentral:lncRNA from 1 species
GGGAAACACACUCUGCUUCCCUUCACUUCCCAACUGGGGAGGGCGGCAGCAGCGGGACAAGAGGUCAGGAGGAAGCAUUCAGUCCCGGACACCCUGCCUGCUACCAGGAGACCUGCUGGGGUGGAUGCCACCGGGCCGGAUGCCGGAAACGGGAGACACAGGAUGCGGUGCCUGGGCCCUGCCGAUGCCAGGGCCUGCCCCAAAGAACUGGACAUUGGCAAACAGAAAACCAUUCAGACGCUGCAGCAGGCAGAGUUCCUAUGGCAACCGGUGGUUCCCCAGCAACUCCACAUCCCUUCUCUUCCUGGCCUAAACUUUCCAUUUGAUCUCUUUGGCCACUGGGUUAACACUAAAUUCCUCGCUCCUGAGGGUCAACCACUGGUGAAACUCUCUGCUAGCAAGAGGAGACUUCGGGUCAGUGUCUCUUCACUCUCAGAAGGAAAAAGCCUGAUGUGGUAACACAGGGAUUUAUUGCGAAAUGAGCAUGCAUGGGCUACAGGCCAGAGGCAAGGCUCAGCAGAGGCUUGGAUCAUGUGUCU